CAUGGUUAAGUGGGAAACGAUGUGGGAAGGCCCAGACAGCCAGGAUGUUGGCUUAGAAGCAGCCAUCAUUUAAAGAAAGCGUAAUAGCUCACUGGUCGAGUCGGCCUGCGCGGAAGAUGUAACGGGGCUAAACCAUGCACCGAAGCUGCGGCAGCGACGCUUAUGCGUUGUUGGGUAGGGGAGCGUUCUGUAAGCCUGUGAAGGUGUGCUGUGAGGUAUGCUGGAGGUAUCAGAAGUGCGAAUGCUGACAUAAGUAACGAUAAAGCGGGUGAAAAGCCCGCUCGCCGGAAGACCAAGGGUUCCUGUCCAACGUUAAUCGGGGCAGGGUGAGUCGACCCCUAAGGCGAGGCCGAAAGGCGUAGUCGAUGGGAAACAGGUUAAUAUUCCUGUACUUGGUGUUACUGCGAAGGGGGGACGGAGAAGGCUAUGUUGGCCGGGCGACGGUUGUCCCGGUUUAAGCGUGUAGGCUGGUUUUCCAGGCAAAUCCGGAAAAUCAAGGCCGAGGCGUGAUGACGAGGCACUACGGUGCUGAAGCAACAAAUGCCCUGCUUCCAGGAAAAGCCUCUAAGCAUCAGGUAACAUCAAAUCGUACCCCAAACCGACACAGGUGGUCAGGUAGAGAAUACCAAGGCGCUUGAGAGAACUCGGGUGAAGGAACUAGGCAAAAUGGUGCCGUAACUUCGGGAGAAGGCACGCUGAUACGUAGGUGAAGCGACUUGCUCGUGGAGCUGAAAUCAGUCGAAGAUACCAGCUGGCUGCAACUGUUUAUUAAAAACACAGCACUGUGCAAACACGAAAGUGGACGUAUACGGUGUGACGCCUGCCCGGUGCCGGAAGGUUAAUUGAUGGGGUUAGCGCAAGCGAAGCUCUUGAUCGAAGCCCCGGUAAACGGCGGCCGUAACUAUAACGGUCCUAAGGUAGCGAAAUUCCUUGUCGGGUAAGUUCCGACCUGCACGAAUGGCGUAAUGAUGGCCAGGCUGUCUCCACCCGAGACUCAGUGAAAUUGAACUCGCUGUGAAGAUGCAGUGUACCCGCGGCAAGACGGAAAGACCCCGUGAACCUUUACUAUAGCUUGACACUGAACAUUGAGCCUUGAUGUGUAGGAUAGGUGGGAGGCUUUGAAGUGUGGACGCCAGUCUGCAUGGAGCCGACCUUGAAAUACCACCCUUUAAUGUUUGAUGUUCUAACGUGGACCCGUGAUCCGGGUUGCGGACAGUGUCUGGUGGGUAGUUUGACUGGGGCGGUCUCCUCCUAAAGAGUAACGGAGGAGCACGAAGGUUGGCUAAUCCUGGUCGGACAUCAGGAGGUUAGUGCAAUGGCAUAAGCCAGCUUGACUGCGAGCGUGACGGCGCGAGCAGGUGCGAAAGCAGGUCAUAGUGAUCCGGUGGUUCUGAAUGGAAGGGCCAUCGCUCAACGGAUAAAAGGUACUCCGGGGAUAACAGGCUGAUACCGCCCAAGAGUUCAUAUCGACGGCGGUGUUUGGCACCUCGAUGUCGGCUCAUCACAUCCUGGGGCUGAAGUAGGUCCCAAGGGUAUGGCUGUUCGCCAUUUAAAGUGGUACGCGAGCUGGGUUUAGAACGUCGUGAGACAGUUCGGUCCCUAUCUGCCGUGGGCGCUGGAGAACUGAGGGGGGCUGCUCCUAGUACGAGAGGACCGGAGUGGACGCAUCACUGGUGUUCGGGUUGUCAUGCCAAUGGCACUGCCCGGUAGCUAAAUGCGGAAGAGAUAAGUGCUGAAAGCAUCUAAGCACGAAACUUGCCCCGAGAUGAGUUCUCCCUGACCCUUUAAGGGUCCUGAAGGAACGUUGAAGACGACGACGUUGAUAGGC
rnacentral:rRNA from 1 species